GUGUCUUCUAUGCAAGGGUGGAGGGCAUCCAUGAAAUGGAAGAUGCUGGAAAGCAGUAUCUUUACCAAUAGGUGCUUGAUCAAGCAUGAAGAUUGGCUGGAGAUAUAGCCUUUACUUUAUUUAAAGACUUCUAAGAGUGAAUGAGAUGAUGCGUGACCAAAGGGGUAAAGAGAAUUGGCAAUCUUAGGUGAUAAUUUGGACAAGAUUUUUGGUGUGAUAAAAGGGUUAACAUGGUCUCCUAGAGAAAUUAUGUUGAAGAUUGGCUUCUGAAGAGAUAUUUUUCAGUUCACAUAUAUGCUUGUUGCACUUUACUUUCAAGCCUUUUGCAAUAUCAGUAUAUACAUGUAUAAAGUCAUGUUUUUGCUAUGCUUUACAUGCUCAAUAGAGAAAGGUAUCGAAAUGUUUUUUUAUGAGACUGGACAACUAGAAUGGUUAAGAUCACUUUGGUUGCUUUGCAUAUUUUAUUUUACUAUUUAUAAUUUACAUGUUUCAGUUUUCUAUUUUCUUCUUUCAUUAUAGUGUUAAAUUAUUACAAGUUUGAUAUUUUUAUAUCGUUUUCUCUAUCAAUAAAGAUUGAAUUCACACACUUUAUACUGAUACUUAACUAUGGCGACAAUCCCAAAAGAAUAUCUUAGGAAGCACAUUAGUACUUCACAUAUUAUUGUGAAGUUAAUCAAUUUUAAAUCAUCAAGUAACUAACAUAAAGUUUGAUUUAAUUUUUAUUCUGCAGUUUCAUGGUAUUAUUAAAUAUACAAUAAAUGAAAUCAACACUGUAGUAAAGAAUGGAUUAAUUACUACUUAACUGAGUAUAUGUCAACAUCAUAAUAGCUUAGGUUUCGGUUUUGCUGGAAUG